AGAAACAAAUACAACUUCAUUAAACUGUGAGUUUAAAUACAAAUAGAGAGUAUAAAAACUCAAAAGGAGUCCUCAUUAUAAUUAUUGAUACACUAUUUUAAAAAUAGUGAGGACUGCUAAAACAACUUUCUAGAACCAUCACUCCGUACCCCGACUAGUUCCUGCUAUGUUCUCACCUCCUGAGAAGAAAAAUGGAACAAAAGGGUGUGCUCAACUAGCCCAGUAAAGAAUAUUAUGACUAAGAUAAUAUACAAAAAAUUAUCAUUAGUCUUCAACAGGGAAUAAUCUGAUAAAAUAUAAUAGACAACAAGUUUAAGAUCAACAACUGCAGCGGAAAACAACAAUCCAUUAGAAGAG
rnacentral:lncRNA from 1 species